AAUUUCUCAUUCAAAUUUUGAUUAAUAAAUCUUAUGGUGCUCAACAUUAAGCCCGUUUAGUUUCAUUUGCAUAGACAGUGUAGUUACUCAGAUAUUUACAUCUCAAAUUAUAUAUCAUUUUUUUAAAAACCCU